AGCAGCCGCGGUAAUUCCAGCUCCAAUAGCGUAUAUUAAAGUUGUUGCAGUUAAAAAGCUCGUAGUUGAAUUUCGGGGUUAGUAGGUUGGUCGUGCCACUGGUAUGCACUGGUCUCACUGAUUCCUCCUUCCUGAUGAACCGUAAUGCCAUUAAUUUGGUGUUGCGGGGAAUCUGGACUGUUACUUUAGAAAAAUUAGAGUGUUUAAAGCAGGCUAACGCUUGAAUACAUUAGCAUGGAAUAAUGGAAUAGGACGAUCGAUCCUAUUUUGUUGGUUUCUAGGAUUGACGUAAUGAUUAAUAGGGAUAGUUGGGGCAUUAGUAU
rnacentral:rRNA from 1 species